rnacentral:rRNA from 1 species
GAUGAACGCUGGCGGCGUGCCUAAUACAUGCAAGUCGAGCGAACAGACGAGGAGCUUGCUCCUCUGACGUUAGCGGCGGACGGGUGAGUAACACGUGGAUAACCUACCUAUAAGACUGGGAUAACUUCGGGAAACCGGAGCUAAUACCGGAUAAUAUAUUGAACCGCAUGGUUCAAUAGUGAAAGACGGUUUUGCUGUCACUUAUAGAUGGAUCCGCGCCGCAUUAGCUAGUUGGUAAGGUAACGGCUUACCAAGGCAACGAUGCGUAGCCGACCUGAGAGGGUGAUCGGCCACACUGGAACUGAGACACGCUCCAGACUCCUACGGGAGGCACCAGUAGGGAAUCUUCCGCAAUGGGCGAAAGCUUGACGGAGCAACGCCGCGUGAGUGAUGAAGGUCUUCGGAUCGUAAAACUCUGUUAUUAGGGAAGAACAAAUGUGUAAGUAACUAUGCACGUCUUGACGGUACCUAAUCAGAAAGCCACGGCUAACUACGUG